UGACAGUACUCCUACGGGGAGGCAGCAGUGGGGGAAUAUUGCACAAUGGGCGCAAGCCUGAUGCAGCCAUGCCGCGUGUAUGAAGAAGGCCUUCGGGUUGUAAAGUACUUUCAGCAGUGAGGAAGGCAGGUACGUUAAUAGCGUGCUUGUUUGACGUUAGCUGCAGAAGAAGCACCGGCUAACUCCGUGCCAGCAGCCGCGGUAAUACGGAGGGUGCGAGCGUUAAUCGGAAUUACUGGGCGUAAAGCGCAUGCAGGUGGUUUGUUAAGUCAGAUGUGAAAGCCCGGGGCUCAACCUCGGAAUUGCAUUUGAAACUGGCAGACUAGAGUACUGUAGAGGGGGGUAGGAAUUUCAGGUGUAGCGGUGAAAUGCGUAGAGAUCUGAAGGAAUACCGGUGGCGAAGGCGGCCCCCUGGACAGAUACUGACACUCAGAUGCGAAAGCGUGGGGAGCAAACAGGAUUAGAUACCCUGGUAG
rnacentral:rRNA from 1 species